AAUGAACGUUGGCGGCAUGGAUUAGGCAUGCAAGUCGAGCGAGAAGAGUCUUUUGCUUGCAUUAGACUUGGACAGCGGCGCAAGGGUGAGUAACGCGUAGUUAUCUGCCCCCGGGUCCGGAAUAGCCAUGGGAAACCGUGAGUAAUGCCGGAUAACAUCUCAGGAUCAAAGGUGAGAUUCCGCCCGGGGAGGGGACUGCGUCCUACUAGCUUGUUGGUGGGGUAAUGGCCUACCAAGGCUUAGAUGGGUAGCGGGCGUGAGAGCGUGGCCCGUCACACUGGGACUGAGACACUGCCCAGACACCUACGGGUGGCUGCAGUCGAGAAUCUUCGGCAAUGGGCGAAAGCCUGACCGAGCAAUGCCGCGUGCGGGAUGAAGGCCCUCGGGUUGUAAACCGCGAAAGUGAGGAGGAAGGGCCUGUGAAGAGCAGGUCUUGACCGAUCCACAGUAAGGACGGGCUAAGUUCG
rnacentral:rRNA from 1 species